AUUGAACGCUGGCGGCAGGCCUAACACAUGCAAGUCGAACGGUAGCACAGAGAGCUUGCUCUCGGGUGACGAGUGGCGGACGGGUGAGUAACGUCUGGGAAACUGCCCGAUGGAGGGGGAUAACUACUGGGAACGGUAGCUAAUACCGCAUAACGUCGCAAGACCAAAGUGGGGGACCUUCGGGCCUCACACCAUCGGAUGUGCCCAGAUGGGAUUAGCUAGUAGGUGGGGUAAUGGCUCACCUAGGCGACGAUCCCUAGCUGGUCUGAGAGGAUGACCAGCCACACUGGAACUGGGACACGGUCCAGACUCCUACGGGAGGCAGCAGUGGGGAAUAUUGCACAAUGGGCGCAAGCCUGAUGCAGCCAUGCCGCGUGUAUGAAGAAGGCCUUCGGGUUGUAAAGUACUUUCAGCGGGGAGGAAGGCGGUGGAGUUAAUAACUUCACCGAUUGACGUUACCCGCAGAAGAAGCACCGGCUAACUCCGUGCCAGCCGCCGCAGUAA
rnacentral:rRNA from 1 species